ACUCCUACGGGAGGCAGCCAGUGGGGAAUAUUGCACAAUGGGCGCAAGCCUGAUGCAGCCAUUGCCGCGUUGUAUGAAGAAGGCCUUCGGGAUUGUAAAGGUACUUUCAGCAGUGAGGAAGGUGGAGUCGUUAAUAGCCGGCCAUCAUUUGACGUUAGCCUGCAGAAGAAGCACCGGCUAACUCCGUUGCCAGCAGCCGCGGUAAUACGGCAGGGUGCGAGCACGUUAAU
rnacentral:rRNA from 1 species